AUGGAUGUAGUAUGUACAUGGAUGAUAUACAAUGAGUUUUAUGCAGGUUUUGGUUAUAAGUUGCAGCAAGGGUUAGUAUUUCGCUUAGCUAAUUUAUGUGUUAAUUUGUGGACAGGUUUUGUAGGCUUUUAUGUUCACGGGCAAAGGCAUGGUUGGAUAAUGAGGAUGAACCAAGCUUGCAUAUGGUCAUGA